rnacentral:misc_RNA from 1 species
GAUGAAGAACGCAGCGAAAUGCGAUAAGUAAUGUGAGUUGCAGAAUUCAGUGAAUCAUCGAAUCUUUGAACGCACCUUGCGCCCUUUGGCUAUUCCGAAGGGCAUGCCUGUUUGAGUGUCAUUGUACUCUCACUCUCCCGAUACUUUUGGAUCGGGAGUGGUGGACUUGGGUGCUGCUGCUUAACUGUGGCUCGCCUUAAAUGAAGUAGUGCAACUCUCGGUUGGACAUAGUACGGCGUGAUAAGUGUCUUCGCCGGCGCCUCAUUCGAGGGUGGCCGAUCGGGAGCUCUGUGCUUCAAACUGUCUUCGGACAACAUCUGACAACUUGACCUCAAAUCGAGUAGGACUACCCGCUGAACUUAAGCAUAUCAAUAAGCGGAGGA